GCGGAAGUGGCGGAAUUGGUAGACGCACCAGAUUUAGGUUCUGGCGCCGCAAGGUGUGAGAGUUCAAGUCUCUCCUUCCGCA
rfam:Vibrio nereis strain DSM 19584 contig0047, whole genome shotgun sequence.